GACGAACGCUGGCGGCGUGCCUAAUACAUGCAAGUAGAACGCUGAAGGAGGAGCUUGCUUCUCUGGAUGAGUUGCGAACGGGUGAGUAACGCGUAGGUAACCUGCCUGGUAGCGGGGGAUAACGAUUGGAAACGAUAGCUAAUACCGCAUAAGAGUAGAUGUUGCAUGACAUUUGCUUAAAAGGUGCAAUUGCAUCACUACCAGAUGGACCUGCGUUGUAUUAGCUAGUUGGUGGGGUAACGGCUCACCAAGGCGACGAUACAUAGCCGACCUGAGAGGGUGAUCGGCCACACUGGGACUGAGACACGGCCCAGACUCCUACGGGAGGCAGCAGUAGGGAAUCUUCGGCAAUGGACGGAAGUCUGACCGAGCAACGCCGCGUGAGUGAAGAAGGUUUUCGGAUCGUAAAGCUCUGUUGUAAGAGAAGAACGAGUGUGAGAGUGGAAAGUUCACACUGUGACGGUAUCUGACCAGAAAGGGACGGCUAACUACGUG
rnacentral:rRNA from 1 species